UACAGAGGUCUCAAGCGUUGUUCGGAUUCAUUGGGCGUAAAGGGUGCGUAGGCGGCGCGGUAAGUCGGGUGUGAAAUCUCGGAGCUUAACUCCGAAACUGCAUUCGAUACUGCCGUGCUUGAGGACUGGAGAGGAGACUGGAAUUUACGGUGUAGCGGUGAAAUGCGUAGAUAUUGGGAGGAACACCAGUGGCGAAGGCGGCUCACUGGACUGGUACUGACGCUGAGGCGCGAAAGCGUGGGGAGCAAACGGG
rnacentral:rRNA from 1 species